rnacentral:rRNA from 1 species
UACGGAGGGUGCAAGCGUUAUCCGGAUUCACUGGGUUUAAAGGGUGCGUAGGUGGGUUGGUAAGUCAGUGGUGAAAUCUCCGGGCUUAACCUGGAAACUGUCAUUGAUACUAUCAAUCUUGAAUACCUUGGAGGUGAGCGGAAUAUGUCAUGUAGCGGUGAAAUGCUUAGAUAUGACAUAGAACACCAAUUGCGAAGGCAGCUCACUACACGGUCAUUGACACUGAGGCACGAAAGCGUGGGGAUCAAACAGG